ensembl:misc_RNA Metazoa_SRP Metazoan signal recognition particle RNA
GCUGGGCGUGGUGGCGUGAGCCUGUAGUCCUAGCUACUUGGGAGGCUGAGGCAGAAGAAUUGCUUGAACCCAGGAGGUGGAGGCUGCAGUGAGCUGAGAUUGCGCCACUGCACUCCAGCCUGGGCAACAGAGUAAGACUCUGUCUCAA